ensembl:lncRNA
CUUAGGCCAAAGGUUGUGAUAAUUUUAAUAAAACUCUGUAUGUAAUCCCAAAUUCCUUUCCCAAAAGGUCAUCACCUUUCAACUUCUACCAACAAAUGGUUAUGAGCGAAGGUUUAGCUUUUUGCUAUCAGAGAUUACUCUAACCAACAUAUGCCUGACUACCAGGAAGGAACUAAUAUCAAAGAAAUGGCUGAGCACAGAAGCCCCUUGCCCUAUGGGCAAUGUGAUAGAGUUGCAUGGAGAGGUUGGAACUUAGUCCCUGGCCAAAAGGGCAGGCAUGUCCCAGGUCCCGAAAACCUUCCUGUAGGCAGCUUCUUCACCAAGCAUUCUCUCCAUGAAGGAUUCUGUUGUGGAAAGCCAGCCCCUCCUCGGUCUGUUCAGGUAUGCCUGUGGAUUAUCCUCAGAUGAUUUUGACAUUAGCCUGCUGGCAGAAAUGUUUUGUGAGAGUCUAUUUCUAGUGGCAAGAUUACAGUUCCCAAAGCUAGAAAUUAGAUAUACAAUGUGGUGCAAAAUAAACCUCCACAUUCAGGACCUUGCACAGUCUCACUUUAGCUUGGGAGCCUGGGUAAAAACUGUCACCCACUUCACAUAAGCAGGGUCGGGACCAAAUGAGAGAGGUCACAGGGGAACGACAGAGAUGGGAAUUAUUCGGAGAGCAUGAAAACCAACCUCCUCAUGUGACAGAUGCAUAAACUGAGGCCUUGAAUUAGCAGUAGGUUCAAGAGUAGAAACGAAACCUCCUGAUUGCUCAUUUAAUGUUUCCCUUAACCCACGCAACUACCAAAAUCAUUCUGCUGAUCCAGGUAGGAAGAGGCACUUAUGAGAUCUGAUCUCUUGGAUGCUGUCUACAUAAUUGGCAUCUGGAAGUUUGCUUAGCCUUUCUUGGAAUGAUCGUUUUCAUGCCUACUGCCUCUUUUCUGACUGGGGCCAACUUUUGUGCUCAAGAAUCAUGCCACAGUACUAGUGCCAAGGGAUGCCUCUUCCUGUCCAGUGGUGAUGGGAGUACUAACACUGUAGUUAUCACUAUGAAAAUGUAAAAAAGACAGCCUUAUUGACCUGGUCUGUCAAAUGGGAAGUUGGCUCUUUUAGGGAGCUUUGGAGGAGGGAGAAAACCAGUUCUCUCUGUAUUUUAUCCUGUCUAUCAUCCUGAUAUCCAAGCUUGCAUUACAUUUCAGAGCAUGAUAAGUCCAUUUCCUCAUCCCUUGACAGAAGCCAGAAUAACAUUAAUCAGAUUGAUUCUUAUUCUCUCCUCUCUGUGUAGCCAUUAGACAUGUGUUCUGCUGGAGUCAGCCCAGUGUGGACUUAAUUAAUCCCCACCAGUUAUUGUAUAUUGCUUACCUUCUUACUGAUAUUUAGUUCUUGAAAAACUGACCAUGGGCAGGGAGCAGAAUGCAGAUGCAUGCCAAUGAGUCUGGAUGGUGUGGAGCAAGUCACGCUGAAGGCAUGGAGCCACAUCCCCAUCUGGUCUUCAUCCAUACAUACACAGCUUAUUUUUCCCUUUUACACUAGCAAGGGCAGGUGUUCAAAUGCCCAUAUUUGUGGUAAAAGAGUUGUGAUUCAUUGAGCCAUCUCAUUUAACAUCCCAAGCCUGAACUAUCUUUGAUUGGUUCAGAGAUUUGCCUGGGCCCAACUUCUUUCUUCUGUAAGGGAGAUCCAGGGAAAUGAUAUAAAGACAAAAAUCAGAGGCAUGAUAUGUACAAAUAAAAAGAAAUUCAAAGUAAGGAAGCUCCGUUCAGCCCAGGCGACCUGAGUAUUAAAAGGUG